AUCCAUCUGACGAGUCCCGAACAGGACGGAACGGGCGUUUUGGAU
rfam:Schistosoma mattheei strain Denwood, Zambia genome assembly, scaffold: SMTD_contig0002120